AAAAGCUUUCUUUAAUUGAAUAAUUGAAUUUAAUUUUUUAGUGCAAAAGCAAAAAUAAAAAUUAGGGACAAGAAGACCCUAUGAAUUUUUUAUUAAAUUUUAUAAAACUUUAUAUAAAAUUUAAUUUAAUUGGGGUGAUGGAAAAAGAAUAAAUAUCUUUUUUUUUAAAAAAAAAUGGUUCCGUUUUUAGCGAUUAAAUGAAAAAAAUACUCUAGGGAUAACAGCGUAAUAAUUUUGGAUAGUUCAUAUAGAUAAAAUAGUUUGCGACCUCGAUGUUGGAUUAGGAUUCUUUUUUGGUGAAGAAGUUAAAAAAAGAAGUUUGUUCAACUUAUAAUUUCCUACUUGAUCUGAGUUCAGACCGG
rnacentral:rRNA from 1 species